AUUGAACGCUGGCGGCAGGCUUAACACAUGCAAGUCGAACGAGUGGCAGACGGGAGAGUUAUGCUUGGAAAUCUAGCUUCUGGAGGGGUAUAACUACGGAAAAGUGUAGCUAAUACCGCGAACCAGUGGCUGAGCCCAAGUGGGAUUAGGUAGUUGGUGGGGUAAAGGCCUACCAGGCCCGCGAUCUAUAGCUGGUCUGAGAGGAUGACCAGCCACACUGGAAAGGGGAGACGGGCCAGACUCCUACGGGAGGCAGCGGUGGGGAAUAUUGCGCAAGGGGGGGAACCUGACGCAGCCAUGCCGCGUGAAUGAAGAAGGCCUUCGGGUUGUAAAGUUCUUUCGGUAUUGAGGCGUGAAAUACAGAAGAAGCACCGGCUAACUCCGUGCCAGCAGCCGCGGUAAUAC
rnacentral:rRNA from 1 species